GAUGAAGAACGCAGCGAAAUGCGAUAAGUAAUGUGAAUUGCAGAAUUCAGUGAAUCAUCGAAUCUUUGAACGCACCUUGCGCUCCUUGGUAUUCCGAGGAGCAUGCCUGUUUGAGUGUCAUUAAAUUCUCAACCUCACCAGUUUUGUAACGAGACAGGUGAAGGCUUGGAUGUGGGGGUUUUGCAGGCUGCCUCAGUGCUGGUCUGCUCUCCUGAAAUGCAUUAGCGAGCUCAUAUUGAGCUUCCGUCUAUUGGUGUGAUAAUUAUCUACGCCGUGGAUUGGACUCAUGCUUGCUUCUAACUGUCCGCAAGGACAAUUUACUUGACCAAUUUGACCUCAAAUCAGGUAGGACUACCCGCUGAACUUAAGCAUAUCAAUAAGCGGAGGA
rnacentral:misc_RNA from 1 species